CUUCCCAGCAAACAAAGAGCGGUAACGCUCCCUUCACACGUGCUCGCGCAUUUACUCCCUCCCGUCGGUGAUUCGGGACACGUGUAGGCGGGCGUUCCCCCCUCCCGUGGGGGCAACCGGAAUCUCCCGGUCACCGCCGCACCACUCGCCGGUCACCGGAAUAUUCCCCUUUCUCUCUCUCUCUCUCCCUCUCUCCCACUCCCUCUCUUCUUCCCACCCCCUCCCCAAUAACCCCAACUCCCAACUCCCAAAAGUCAAACCUCUUCUUCUCCCUUCCACACCUCUCUCUCUCUCUCUCUCUCUCUCUCUCUCUCUGUGUACCCUCCUUCAUGAACGGAUCCGGAGGGGGCGCCGCCGCCGCCACGGCGGAGAUGGAGGCGGCGGAGCAGCUGAUCAUGCGGUGGGACUCGGCGGCGGCACCGGAGGAGGAUCGGAUGCUCUUCGACGGCGCCGAUCGCUCCGAGGCCGAGCGCUACCUCCGCGCCGUCGACGAGCUUCGCCGCUCCGUAAGGGAUCCCGCCGCUGCCGUCGGGAGCCCCCGGCGAUCGUCGGCGCAGUCGGCGUCCCCGGCGUCGGCGCUCCAGGUCGCCAUGGCGCGGCUCGAGGACGAGUUCCGCCACGUGCUGGUGUCCCGCGCCCACGAGAUCGAGGUCGAGUCGCUCGUCGACCUGAGCUCCCUCUCCAUGUCCAGCUCCCUGGACACCGCCGACCUCUCCGACGACGACAGGGAGGAGGAGGAGGAGGAGGAGGAGGGGGGGGAGGGGGAGGGGAGCUUCUCGGCGGCUGUGGCGGCGGCGGCGGCCUUGGGCUCGGAGGGGAGCAGCGCGGGCGCGCGGCCGAUUCGGAGGAGCAGCUGCAGCUCGAUACGGAGCAUCCGCGAGAUCGAUCUGCUUCCCCCGGAGGCGAUCCACGACCUGCGCAGCAUCGCGGAGCGGAUGAUCGGCGCGGGGUACGGGCGCGAGUGCUACCAGGCGUACGGGUCGGCCCGCAAGGCGGCGGUGGACGCGUGCUUCCGCCGCCUCGGCGUGGAGAAGCUCAGCAUCGGCGACGUGCAGCGGCUCGAGUGGGAGGCGCUCGAGUCCAAGAUCCGGCGCUGGAUCCGCGCCGCCCGCGCCGCCGUGCGCGCCGUGUUGGCGCGCGGGAUCCUCUCCGAGUUCGAGAGCGCCGUGCUCCGCGACCCCUCCAAAACCCCCGUCCCGGGGGGCACCAUCCACCCCCUCACCCGCUACGUCAUGAACUACAUCAGCCUCAUCUCCGACUACAAGCCCACCCUCGCCCGCCUCAUCGUCUCCCGCCCCUCCCGCCCCUUCUCCUCCUCCUCCUCCGCCUCCUCCGCCUCCGCGGGAGAGGAAACCCUAACCCUAAUCCCCGAGCUCGACUUCCCGGAGCCCGAGAACCAGCCCCCGCUCGCCUCCCACCUCGUCUGGAUCAUCGUCGUGCUCCGGCACAACCUCGAGAGCAAGGCCGCGCUCUACAAGGACGCCGCGCUCUCCCACCUCUUCCUGAUGAACAACGUCCACUACAUCGCCCACAAGGUCAAGGACUCGCCCGAGCUCCGCGACCUCAUCGGCGAUGACUACCUGCGCAGGCUCACCGGCAAGUUCCGCCAGGCCGCCACCAGCUACCAGCGCGCCACCUGGAUGAAGAUCCUCCACUGCCUCAGGGACGAGGGCUUGCACGUCAGCGGCGGCUUCUCGUCGUCGUCCAUUUCCAAGGCCACGCUGCGCGAGAGGUUCAGAUCCUUCAAUGCCGCCUUCGACGAGGUCCACCGCGUCCAGGCCACGUGGAUCGUGCCGGACGCGCAGCUGCGGGAGGAGCUCAGGAUCUCGAUCGCCGAGAAGCUCUUGCCGGCUUACCGGUCUUUUCUGGGCCGAUUCCGGCAGCACAUCGAGAACGGGAGGCAUCCGGAGAUGUACAUCAAGUACUCGGCGGAGGAUCUUGAAACGGCGGCGGCGGAUUUCUUUGAAGGCUGCCCGCCUUCUAUCCACGGCAGGAGGCGGCCCCAUUGAAGGGGGGAUGGCUGGACUGGCUGUUAUUCUUUCGAUUUUUUCGAGGAAAAAUUUGUCAGGCGUUCUUCGUUACCGUCAAAGAAGGGCUGCAGAUUUCCUUUUCCGGACUUAAUUUAUGUAGCUGAUGAAGAUGUUGCAGUGCAAUGGAAUGUUUACUUCUAGAAGCAAGAUCUUGUGGGAGCUGUCGAAGCGCCUGUUUACAUUUCCCUCUGGUCAUAUUGCUGUUGGUGCUAGCAAUAGGAGAAAAGUUGGAGCCUUGGAGAAGAGCCAUACCUUGUACUGCUCGCAAUGAUUAGCCCAGUGUUGUAACUCAUUACUAAAAGGUCGUGGAGGAAGUUGAAUGGCGCUAGUUGAUUGAAUAAAUGACAAUCAAAGUGACAAGGUGAAUCUGUGGAGAAAGACUGCUUGCCGGCCGUGUUUGGACAUUACUAUCUCUUACAGGAAGAAACAACUUUCUCCUGAAUAUUCAGGUCAAUGGUCAAUCUGUGGGCAGCUCGCUUUCCAACUUAAAACAGAUUCAAACUAUUGACAGGUAAGGAUCAGCUUCCAAAUUUGGUUUGAAAAGUCGAUAGCUAUUAAAUUUUUGGUGCGUUUUGUUAUAUUGCUAUCGUUAUAGUGACAGUUAAUGUGCUGUUGUUGUAUUUUGUGACAAUGAUGAUUUAUUUUCUCCUUUCAGAUAGAAUUUAUAGAAUUGUUGGAUUGAUUCCA